rnacentral:rRNA from 1 species
AUGCUCAGUUUCAUGGAUCACUUACAAGCUCUGAGCUUGCUUGUGCUUGCCUCACUGGUCAGCUCAGCGGCGCCGCCACCGUCCGGCUCCGGCCACCGCUUCACGCUCACCCACAUUGACUCCAAAGGCGGCUUCACCAAGGCAGAGCUGAUGCGCCGGGCCGCACACAGAAGCCGCCUCCAAGCGGCCACGGGGUUUUCCAGCUCGGAGGCCGGGCCAAGGCUCCGCUCGGGCCAAGCCGAGUACCUCAUGGAGCUCGCCAUCGGGACGCCGCCGGUGCCGUUCGUCACCCUCUUCGACACCGGCAGCGACCUCACCUGGACGCAGUGUCAGCCUUGCAAGCUCUGCUUCCCGCAGGACACGCCCGUCCCCACCGCCUCGUCCAGCUUCUCCCCUCUGACCUGCUCCAGCGACGCGUGCCUGCCCGUGUGGAGCCGUGGAUGCGCCCCUAGCUCCCUCUGCGGCUACCGCUACGCCUAUGGCGACGACUCCCACUCGGCCGGCGUCCUGGGCACGGAGACGCUCACGUUCGGCUCUGGCCCCGGCCAAGUACCGGCCCCCUUUGCCGGAGCUGUCGCGUUCGGCUGCGGGAGAGACAACGGGGGCGACUGGUACAACUCCACCGGGCUGGUCGGCCUCGGUCGCGGGAGCCUGUCUCUCGUGGCGCAGCUAGGGUUCGAGAAGUUUUCCUACUGCCUCACCGACUUCUACAAUACCAGCCUGGGUAGCCAUGGCAUAUCGCUCGGCGACGCUCGCCUGCCGAUCCCGAACCAAUCCUUCGAGCUGCACGCCGACGGCACGGGUGGGAUGAUUGUGGACUCCGGCACCAUCUUCACCGUCCUCGUGGAAAGUGCUUUCAGGGUGGUCGCCGACCACGUGGCCGAGGUGUUGGGCCAGCCGGCGCUCAACACGACGAGCCUGGAGAGCCCUUGCUUCCCGGCUCCUGCCGGUGUGCGGCAGCUCCCAGCCAUGCCGGACAUGGUGCUGCACUUCGCCGGCGGUGCGGAUAUGAGGCUGCAUGGGGCAACUACAUGUCCUUUAACGAGGAGGACUCCUCAUUCUGCUUAA